rnacentral:tRNA from 1 species
AGCUUUAUAGUUUAACAAAAACAAUAAUUUUGUAAAUUAUAAUUAUAAUAAUUUAUUAAAGCUUC